CUCUCCGAUGAUUGAUUGGUUGACCUCUGUCCACGAUGAAGACCUCUGAAGAGCCGUAAUCACAUGUGACGUAAAUCAAGUCUUCUCGCCCGAGGCUCGUGUGUAUCGGCUCAAUGCAGCAGGGCUCAACACCGUCAAUUCCACUGUAUGAAAAAGAGCAGUGUAAACGUUCUGCCUCCUACAAAAGGACAAGAGGAUAAGUAAAUGAUGUCAGAAUUGUAAUUUUUGGAUGAACCGUCCCUUUAAUCUCAUAAAUUGUGUGCAAUCUGCCCUCAUCUGGCCAAGACUGGAAUUUCACCAUAUGUUACUACAACCUCAACACACCUUCAAGACCAGAUGCUCCUGUUUGAUGACCCCUUUAUAUCCGACCAUGCUGCACCUCCCCCCUCCUCUCUGCUCCUCUUCCUCAUCAUCAUCAGUCAUCUACCAUGUCUCUCCGUGUCCCUCCUGUGCAGCUCCAGCAUCCCCUGGUUUAAUUAAAUGGCCAGGCACGCACGCACACACACACACACACGCACGCACUGAUGAUGAUGAUUCCCAGUCUUAAAGGAGUAGUUCACCCAAAAAUUUUAAUUAAUCAUUUACUCCUGGCAUUUCAAACUCAUAUGUUGUUACUUUUCCUUGCAACACAAAAGGUGAAAUUUCCAGAAAGUUUGUGCACUGUAUUCCUAUAGUCAUAUGAUAGCACAUACAGACUAAAUAGUCUGCCAUAGC